AGCCGGGUCCUGCGCAACAGGGAAUCGCGAACUCCGUCAGGUCCGGGAGGAAGCAGCGGUAGCGAACCUCCCCGUGUGCUGCAGGGUUGCCCGGCUAUC
rnacentral:SRP_RNA from 1 species